UCCUUGGGCCAUUGGUGCAAGCACCACAGGAUCCUCAGGGACAGACUCUGUUUGUUACCAAGGCUUUACCUUAGUUUGACUGCUACAUCCACACAUUUGCCAUUUGUCUGGAUCCACUGAGCCUGGAAGUCAAUCAGUCCCCAACCUGCUCCAUGAUUUGGGGUCCUCAUGGCAGAAAUGCUCUAUGACUUGCUUUGCUGUGAUUUUAGUUCCCUUAGCACUCCCGCCUUGCUUCCAAUAUGGCACCUUUGAGUCUUUCAGCCCCUUUAACUCUGUCAGCAUUCUGGAACCUACAUUUAAUUGUGUGACGUGUGUUGGGGAUUGGUUCUAAUGCUUGGAUAUAAUUGGGAUUCUGUGUGUCCAAAGGCUGAAGGCCCUUGUCCCCAAUCAGUCUUUGAUUGAUCAAUAAAGAGCCAACAGCCAAUGGUUGGGCAAAGGGAGAUGGGGCAGGACGUUUAGAUUUGCAUGGGCUAGGGCAGAGAUGAGGAGAAGAGGGAGGAUCGUCAUGAUGAAGUGGGAGAUGGAUCAGAUUUCGAGAAGCAAGAAAGAGAGCCAAUGAGCCACAUAAGAAUUCAGGUGAGCGGGCUGGGGAUUUAGCUCAGUGGUAGAGCGCUUACCUAGGAAGCACAAGGCCCUGGGUUCGGUCCCCAGCUCCAAAAAAAAGAACCAAAAAAAAAAAAAAAAAAGAAUUCAGGUGAGCGUCCACUAGACACUUACCUGAUUGGUCCUGGGGUAGCAGGCAGAGGAUUAGAACUGCCCAGCCAUUGAGCUGGACAGAAUAUUAAAAAUAAGCUAGUGUGUGUGCGCAUGUAUAUGUGUGUAUGUGUGUAUGUGUGUAUGUGUGUGUGUGUGUGUGUGUGUGUGUGUGUGUGUGUGUGUGUGUGUGUGUGUUUCAUUCUAGGAUUCAGGGAGCUGCUGGGCAGGUGUCUGGAGGAGUUUGACCCACUGGGAGCCCAAAGCAGUGUAGCCACAGUCCACGCUAUAACAUGUGAUGUGUGACCUGAGACUUGUCACCAAUUAAGACUGGAAUAAAAACCCAGGCAUAGUUGCUCAUGCCUGCAAUCACACCUAAAAGUUUGAGGCAGAAGGACUGCUCUGUAUUUAAGGCCAGCCUGAGCUAUCUGGGAUUCCAGGCCAAGUUGAGCUCCAGAGGGGGACUUUGUCUGAAAACAACACAUUAGAAUAAAAAAAUCUACUAUGAAGCCUGCAGGACUUGGUGAGUCAAAGGGCAAGAACAUUGAUGGCAUUGUUUAUGAAUGGACCAGUACUGUGGAAAAAUACAACUAUGCAGAGAGAGAAAGAGAGAGAGAGAGAGAGAGAGAGAGAGAGAGAGAGAGAGAGAGAGAGCACGUGCCUCAAACAAUUGCUUUCCUUCCAGCCAGACAGUAAAUCAUACUGGAAGGAAUGAGCUGCCUGUCAGCGCCUUUUCCCCUUGCUCCCCCCUAAAAAAUGCUCUUCAAAACACCACUGUCGGGGCUGGGGAUUUAGCUCAGUGGUAGAGCGCUUACCUAGGAAGCGCAAGGCCCUGGGUUCGGUCCCCAGCUCCGGGAAAAAAAAGAACCAAAAAAAACAAAAAAAACAAAAAAACAAAAAAAAAAAAACACCACUGUUUUUUUUUUUUUCUAAACCAAUCUAUGACUUGCAAGUCCUUUGUUUUCUAAUGAUAUUAAAUCCUACCUCUGUACUUCCAUAUUUCUAAUUUUAAAAGGCAGACACAGAGAGAAAACCAGGCAUUUUUAUGUUCUUAGAAUUCAUUGAGAAAAAAAAAAAAAAAAAAAAGCUCUCGGGUUCUUUAGGGCCAAAGAAUUCCAGCAGUUGACAUAAAAAUCUUACCUACCCAAGCAAACCUAAAAAGUUGCAUUCCAUUCUGUUUUAAACGUUGCUUCUCCUGACCUUUCAAGAAAGGCCCAGUAGGAAAAUUCAAUCCACUUGAGUAGAGGGAAUGCAAUUCUGGAUUGUGAUUUUGCACAAAUGUAUUAUUUAAUUCUUAAAUUAAGUGCACGAUAUUUAAAAAGCACAAAUACAAAAUGUGAGUAGGCUGGGCCUUCUCAAGAAUUAGUGUGCCCCGAAGAAAUUCUUCAGGGCAGUAAAAUUAGAUUCUAGUCUCAGCCUGAAAUUAGCCUGGGCUCAUAUUCCGGCCCUGUAAUUACACAGUGUGCAACCUCAGGGGGAAAUUAUUACUUAACUACUUAUCUCUAAGUGGGUGUAAUUCUCUGUCUCUCAGAGAGCCAACGGAAAUUACCGACGUUGUAUGUUCUUGCAUUAAGGCUUUGGAUACAGCUAUUACAUGAACAUCUCUCUUCAUUUAUGACAGAUAUGAGAGGAGGCCCUGAGGUCUUCAGCCACCAUAUCCUACAGGGACAGGGUUCCCACCCACAUGGUGCAGUUGCUCGUGAUAGAGGACUCGAAUGGUCUUAGAAAUAGACACAGCACAUUGGGCAUGGUGGUGCCCUUGGGAGAUACAGGCAGGAGGAUCAGGAGGGUCAAGGUCAGCCUUGGGUACUUAGCAAGCUCAAGGCCAGCCUGGGUUACCUGGGAUACUCUUUCUUUUAUCAAACACCCCUACCACCAGGGACUCACACUAUAAGCGUGGCCUUGACCUUGAACUUCUUAUCAUCCCGCCUCUACCACCCAGCCUUUGGCAUUAUAGGUCUGUGCCCACCACGUGAGUGUGGUGCUGUGGAUUGGACGUGGAGGUUCUUUGUCAGGUAAACCAUGUUCGGAGCCCUCCUUUUUCCUUAUAAUCAUUGCCAGUUUCUACUUUGUUCUAGACUCUUUACUCCUCUGUGAUCAGGUUGAACCUUGGUCCUUUUUCCCCUCUCAGAAUUGUGUAACCAGUCACACCACUGAGCAGCACAAGGGGCCAAGAGCACAGUGGGAGAGGAAGUCACUAACCAACAUCUCCGUCCUCGGGGCCUGGGAGGUUAUAGACCACAGAAAAAUGAGAACACAGAGUUCUGAGGCCAGCCUUGGGAGGAUUAUCUUGAGUAGGAGGCCAGUCUGAGCUGGAUGGUGAGACUUUUUCUAGGUUUUGGUUCUUUUUUUUUUUUUUUUUUUUUUUUUCCGGAGCUGGGGACCGAACCCAGGGCCUUGCGCUUCCUAGGUAAGCGCUCUACCACUGAGCUAAAUCCCCAGCCCCUGGUGAGACUUUUUCUAAACAACAACUAGAAGGGGUGCUCUGCAGGGAACAGCAUUGAUCCCCGCACAGCCUCUUCUGGCUCUGUGAACUGAAGUACCAUGAAAAGCUGACAUCUGUGCAGGGAAUUCAGCUGUGAGUGACUGAGGUUCUGCAGUUACAGAGAGUUGAAAUGUGGUAAAUAGAUAAAAUUCUUCUGGGCUAUCAUUAGUCCAUAGCAGUUUUCCAGCAGCAUCCUCUUGACUCUCUGGUGACAUUUUCAGAAUGCAUUCCUAGAAAUCACCUGAUCUACAGACUCCGGAACUGAGAAUGUCACCAGACAGUCUGGAACCUAUAGCAAUGGUCGCAGGCUUAGCUGUGAGCUGCCUACCUGAUGUCCAACAGAGUACUCUGUAAAUGAAUUGAUCUGCGUUCUGUUUGUUUCCUUCUGUGACUGUUAAAGUUCCACUAACCCCUCCCAGGGUGUCAUUCACGGCAGCUUGAACCUGUGAUCUGGGGUGGUGGUCAAUCAUAUUUGGCUCCUCAUAAUAACCCUCUCCUAUUGUCUCUGGGGCAAGAGUCAUGUCUUGUCUUGAUGUGACAACUUCAUUUUGCUUCUUCCUGUUUGCCACAGCAACUGUCAAAUGUCAUAAAGCUAAGAAGAGUGUCUUGAAGCAAACACGGAAGGGAUCAUACCAAAGUUUAAAGGUUUCACUCCAACAGCCAUCUUUCCAUGCAACAGAAGGGCUAAUCCACUGAGGAGGGACUUCUAGCCUUCUGGGUUCCAAGAUAAACAGGCUUAGGACUGGGCAUUUCCAUGAUGUUCUGUAGGGAACAGAGAAUUGGGGUAGGUUCUUGUAGAGUACUGUUGGGUUGCUCACACUGAGCGUAAGACACACACACACACACACACACACACACACACACACACACACACACACACACUCACUCUAGACCUCAGGACACAUCCCUGGAAGGUGGCUGUAACUCUUCUCCAUCCCCACAGCAGGAAACAAAGACUCUAAACAAAGACUCUUCCCAAGCUAUCUAGCCCCCAGUGCUAGAGAUGGCUUUGCUGGGGUCUGCAAGACCCCUAAGACCCCAGGGAAGAAGGCUUCUCCUGCCACAGGCAAACAGGCGGCAUCCCACCUCUCCUGUGCCUUACCCUGCCUGUGCGUUGCUACUUUUGGCCCCGAAACUGGGUUCUUUGUCCCUCUCAGAAUUGUGAGGGGGGAAGAAACAAGAUCAAGCGCCAUCAAGUAGUGAAGGAAACUUUUCAUUCUUGGCCAAGAACAGAAUAAAGGAGGCAAUAAAUGUGGAAAACAGCUUCUCAGCAGCCCAAGGCUUGAUGGCCAUAGUGGGGCGAAAGAAAUGAGAGGCAGGCUGAGGGUAAUGCAGGGGAGGAAUGCGUGUGUGUUUUCUGGGAAUGGGCACAACUUUUCCAGGAAUCUGGGCACUGCCCUCCUUUCGACCUUUUGAUGGUUCUUUUUGUCCGGUUGUCGCCGUGGCCAUUGUGAACCAACGUGGCCCUGGAGGUCACGCCGUUUUGUAUGCAGAUGGCAUAGAGACAGUUUGAAGAUAAUCAUCUGCAGUCUAGGCAGCUCAGGCUCACCCAUCUGAAAAGGGGUUUCCAGUCCUCAGCAUCCAGUCCUCAGAGAUGAACAGUCAGGGUGGAGUUAGCUCUCCUAGGCAGCCUUCAGGGAAUCCUGCCCUGCUCCCUCAAAUCUGGGAUUGAUUGAUGAUUGAUUGAUUGAUUGAUUGAUUGAUUUGGGGGCAGAGCGUUGUGUGCUUUGGGAGUCUGAGGACGUGUCGCAGACGUUUAUUCUUUUCUUCUGCCAUGUGGAGUCCAGGGAUGAUGCCCAGGUCAUCAGACUCGGUGGCGACCCUUGUUACCUGCCAUCUUCCCGGGCCUAUGAUAGCUUGGGUGGGGGUUCCUCUAUCAACAUGGUCAAGAGCUUAAGGGAGUUGUUCUGGCCAGAGUUGCCUGUAGGCCUUGCUUUCUACACAGCUGUCCUGUGCUGGGGCCGUUUUCCUUUUCUGUUGCUUUGUUCGUUCGUUUGUGGUUUUGAGAUAGGGUCUCAGACAGCCCAGGCUGACUCCAACCUAACUGUGUGGCCUGAGGGACCUUAAAUUUGGUGAUUCUCCUCCUAAAUAUUAGGCUGACAGGCGUUUGGCAUCAUGUCUGAUAUGUAUAUUACUGGGCAUCCAGCACAAGUCAUGGAGCUGUUGAACAGCACUCCACAAUUGGGCUAAAUCCCUCUUUUUAUUUUUAUUCUUUUAAAAAUAAUGAGGGUGGUUUGGCAAACAAUAUGGUUUGCACCCUCACUGUGCUGGGUCCUGAGGAAAUGAGUAAGUAGGUGGUGGAGUGAAGAAAGAGAAAGAAGCAAGCAAAUAAAGGCAGAAGGCGAGAGGCCAUUGGUGCACGGUGAAGAGAGGCAGAACUGGAGGACAGGAAGGCCAUUGCUGUUCGUGCUCCUUGGGAAAUGGGUUGGACAAACGUUUGAAGACACCCAGAGACUCUGCCCACCGUGUGGCCUGUGGCUUGAGCCACUGCGAUAUGCAAAUAUGGGGUGGAGAGAUAGGAGAGGAAGAGAAGAGGAACCGUUUGAGCACCGUGAAGAGAGGCAGAUCUGGAGACUUGGGGGUAGAGAGGAACACCAUCUGUGAGUAGCUUGUGAGGUCACCUGAGGCCGUGGUGAGUUUUGGCUUGUGCUGCUGCUGAGAGCCAUGUCUGGGUCUGUGACCAUGCAGCAGCAGGUAUCUGUAUCAAUGUCCAUGACCCAAAUUGCCACCAAAGGCCAUGUAGACCUUAGUCCCUGGGCUGGGCUGCCACCUGGGAUCGUAUUAAUCUCCAAAGGCUGGAUAGAGCUGGCCCCGCCCCUUAUUGGUUGCAGCAUUUGAGAGAGCAGGUCCCUGCUGGGCAAAACGGUAGAGCUGGCCCCUAGUGGUAGGACUGUGGGGACCAACCAGCCCUUGCAAGCUGUGGUGAGCUAGCCCAGCAGUGCUUGUGAGCUUGCUCUAGUGGCGCCCAGAUCUAGGGCUCUGAGUUGGCCCACCCCAAUAUCUACCCCACCUAUGAGCUGCUGGAGUCCAUGAAGGGACCAGUCCUCAGAUCCAAAGCUGCAGGAUCUCCAUGACACAGGACAACAAAAGGUUGUCAGAGAGGCGUCCCUGUGAGGAUCCAGUAUUGAUGAUGUAGCAGAAGCCGGAGGCCUGGAACCAGACCAGUGACUCGGUGCAAGGAACAUUUACAGCUAAAGAUGGACAAGUCAAAUGGCACAUGACAACAUCUGGCCAGACGUGCAUCAAUGUCUUCAACACACAACCUAGGCAUGAUCAAGGGAUGUCCCAUGUUUGUACAACAAAAUCGCUCAACAAUGCACUCCUAAGGCACUCUGGGGACGAAAUGACACCAGCCUGUUCUUCGAUCUCUUUUAUGAUAUUUCCAGCUGUGGUGUCUCUUGCUGUGUUCACACCCUCAACACCAGCCCCACAGCAUCUAAUCCCUCUCUAACUUGGGCAAGAGCCUUACUACUAUUGUUCACUCUUACUAACCCAAAUAAUUGUUUCCAUCUCUAUAAUUAUUUAUUUAUCGGCCUUUUGGGACAAGGUCUCGCUCCAUAGCCCUGACUGGCUUGGAACUUGCUGCGUAGAACACACUGAGUUAAAACUCAUCUGCCUGUCUCUGUCUCCUGAGGGCUAGGAUUAAAAGCGUGAGUUGGUACA